GUACUGUAUGAAUGCAGUGAAAGGAUCCAGAUGAACAGAUGAAGAGAUUAAGUACAAUGUACAUCAAUUACUUGGAUGAAGAGAAUCUGCAACAUGGGGAAAUAAUGUUCCUAUAGAAAAGUCAAAGAAUGUAUACAUGUGAGAUUCUGAAGUAGCCGUACAUGAUGAGUAGGAAUUUGAAGUGAAUUAUGGGAAAAGUGAAAUGGUAAAAAAGAAACUGCUAGCGCUACUGUGCAGACUACCAUCAAUCAACAUGAUCAACAAAAUCAAGUAAUCCUUCUGAAGAUGGAGUAGUACACAAGCACAAUUUUUUAAAGAAAGAAAAGUCAAUGGAAUGAAAGCCAAAGAAAAGGUGAAGUGAAUUGUCA